rnacentral:rRNA from 1 species
GCAGUAGCCGCGGUAAUACGUAGGUCCCGAGCGUUGUCCGGAUUUAUUGGGCGUAAAGCGAGCGCAGGCGGUUAGAUAAGUCUGAAGUUAAAGGCUGUGGCUUAACCAUAGUACGCUUUGGAAGCUGUUUAACUUGAGUGCAAGAGGGGAGAGUGGAAUUCCAUGUGUAGCGGUGAAAUGCGUAGAUAUAUGGAGGAAUACCGGUGGCGAAAGCGGCUCUCUGGCUUGUAACUGACGCUGAGGCUCGAAAGCGUGGGGCGCAAACAGGAUUAGAUACCCCGGUAGUCCCUGUCUCUUAUACA